UACGUAGGGUGCGAGCGUUGUCCGGAAUUAUUGGGCGUAAAGAGCUCGUAGGCGGUCUGUCGCGUCGAAUGUGAAAACCCGGGGCUCAACUCCGGGCUUGCAUUCGAUACGGGCAGACUAGAGUUCGGUAGGGGAGACUGGAAUUCCUGGUGUAGCGGUGAAAUGCGCAGAUAUCGAGAGGAACACCUGCGGCGAAGGCGGGUUGCUGGGCUGAUACUGACGCUGAGGCGCGAAAGCCAGGGGAGCGAACGGG
rnacentral:rRNA from 1 species